AGACACCGCACUAGCUAACCACCUUAGGCCGGAGACACCUGCUUUUCCUGAGUGUGAGACCACCUGGUCCCUGCGCUCGAGAAGCUUAGCAUCCAGGAGAAGGAAUGGCGCCAACCCACAGAGAGCCUCGUGAGUGGACUGGCCCACGGGAGGGGCUCGGUGAACGUGACCAAAGAGGACUGCACAAGGCACAGAGAGGAAAGAGCUGUCACACCCCCGGCCCCGUUGCUGCCGCUGGUAUCGUGGCCUGAAGUGUUUUCCUGCUGUGUCACCUCUGUGUCUCUUGCUGCCACGUCAGCCACAUCUCCUGUCCCUGGAGUCCCCAGGCACAGAACAGCAGCUCAGAUGUACCCAGACUUGAAGAAUAACACUAAUUAUGGGCAUUAGCAUUUAUUGAGCACCUACUAUGGGGCCAGGCUCUGUGAACUCGGUGACUUCCUCCAACGACCUCAUGAAGUAAGGCCAUUUGAGCAAUGGGAAAACUGAGGCUCACAGUUGUUACGCAAUGGAGGUGGGACCCCACAUCAGUGCCACCACCCACCAUGCCCUAGGGACUCCAAGAGC
rnacentral:lncRNA from 1 species